UACGUAUGGUGCAAGCGUUAUCCGGAUUUACUGGGUGUAAAGGGAGCGCAGGCGGCACGGCAAGCCUGAUGUGAAAGCCCGCGGCCCAACCGCGGGGCUGCAUUGGGAACUACCGGGCUGGAGUGCCGGAGAGGUAGGCGGAAUUCCUAGUGUAGCGGUGAAAUGCGUAGAUAUUAGGAGGAACACCAGUGGCGAAGGCGGCCUACUGGACGGUGACUGACGCUGAGGCUCGAAAGCGUGGGGAGCAAACAGG
rnacentral:rRNA from 1 species